GAAUUGCAGAAUUCCGUGAAUCAUCGAGUUUUUGAACGCAAGUUGCGCCCGAGGCUUGUCCGAGGGCAUGCCUGCCUGAGCGUCCG
rnacentral:rRNA from 1 species